AGAUUGAAAAGUAUUUGCACAACAGACUAGUCAUGCUCAAUUUUACGGUAGAAAGCGCUGAUUUGAACGACAGCCUUGCGGUAUAUUAUGACCCAGCAGCUACGCCCAAAAUAAUAAAUGGCCCAGCGACACUGGAAGAGCUGAAAAAAUUGGCAGAGUCAAAGGCUCCAUCACUCGAAACAAUGAAUUAUUUUUUUACUUCAACGACCAUAGGAGAGAACAGUACACUUCGUGCGGAUGGUAUAAUUUUUCAUCUGAUGUCACAGUGAAUAAUUUUAAAAAUGUGUUUUGUGCAUAGUCGCGGACACUCAUUUCUGAAUCUAGUGCUGCACCUUGUGAUACAUUUACUUGCUGUAUUAGAUCAGGACGGAGUUUUCUUCAGCUAAUGAAUCAUCACGGUGUUAGAGCCACGUUCAUCGCAAUAGAAAAUU